UACGUAGGUGGCAAGCGUUGUCCGGAUUUACUGGGCGUAAAGGGCGCGUAGGCGGCGCGGAUAGUCGGCGGUGAAAGCCCGGAGCUCAACUCCGGGUCGGCCGUCGAUACUUCCGGGCUUGAGCACUGUAGAGGCAGAUGGAAUUCCGGGUGUAGCGGUGGAAUGCGUAGAGAUCCGGAAGAACACCGGUGGCGAAGGCGGUCUGCUGGGCAGUUGCUGACGCUGAUGCGCGACAGCGUGGGGAGCAAACAGG
rnacentral:rRNA from 1 species